CUGCUCUUCCCCAAGAGGUGAGCCCAGUUCAUCAGGCAAUGGCACCUGAACCUCAGAAAGUCAGGGCUCAGGGAUUGGUGACAUUUGAAGAUGUGGCAGUGGCCUUCACCUGCCAAGAGGGGCAGCUUCUGGACUUUGACUAGCUCAACUUGUAUCAGGAAACGAUGCUGGAAAAUUACAGGAACCUCACUUCACUGGAUCAUAAAGCUGGACUAAGAUGGAGUCAAUUGGCCUGAAGCAUGAUAUAUAUGAACAGACAGGUUUUCAUGGACUGUCAUUGGAAGGUUCUCGACGAAGUAUUCCCAUAUCUUCUAUGGGAGGAAAGACAUUUGAAUAUGAGACCAGGAUGGCAAAGCAGAGAAAAGGGAAACAGAAGAAAUUUCUUACCCAGAAUAGUGAUUUCAGAAAUGUUAUGGAAAUCCAUAAAAAAACCGCAGAACCAAGAUCCUGUGAUUGUGGGAAAACCCUCUAGCUGGAGCCCUGCCUUACUGAACAUCAGAGAAUUCAUACUGGAGAGAAAACCUACAAGUGUAACCAAUGUGCAAAGGCCUAUAUUGACUCAUCAUCCCUAC